UUACACAGAUUUAAAAAAUCUGAUUAACAAGUAUACUUAACUUUUGGAAUCUGAUUAGAUAAUCCAGAUUACAUGUAAUCAGUUACUACCCAGCUCU